CUUGAUUCUAGUAAUAGGCUUGUAUAUAAAAACAAUUCUAAGACAAGCGACUCGACAACUUGAUUGGAUAUUUAUGGAAAAGACAACGCAAAAUAUUUUUCUAACUUUAGGCAAAGAAAUCUAUGACUUUAUAAUCAAAUACAAAUUAAAAAAAUUUCGUCUUAAGGUUUUCAAUAGAAAGGUAGAGCUAAAGUCUGCUCUCGGCAUACGAAAAUCAAUUCUUUGAAGGCUUCGUACAAUAACAUAAGUGUUUCUAAGCAGUUGUUCUGUCGUUUGUUUGUUUUUUAAGGUUAUUUUCUCAAAAUAAAAAGGAGGAGCAGAACUUGAAGAAGCCAACACCAACAAAAUGCAAUUUCAUUACGUUUCAAUCAAGAGAUGAAAUCUAAACGGCAGCCACUCCAAAUUCCUUUUAGAAAUUCGCAAGGCAACUCUAUUUCUACUGCAAAUUACUUUUUCAUUCGAAUAAUUUGGGUACGCGAACUGUAUAGUAACCCACUAAUAGAAGUACAAAUAAAAUUGAAAAGGACUAUAUUUAAAGAGGUAUACUACUCGGUUGGAAUAUGUUUCAGGUAUAUAGCGGUAGCUGCUGCAGUUUAAGAACUUGAAGAACUGCGAAAACAUCCUAAGCCGGAUGUGAUACAUAUGAGAUUACGCAAGACCCAUAUGAUUAAUUUACCGUUAAUCCUUAUGAAUUCCAUAUUAAAUUUGCGCAUUCCCCGCUUUAUUAGGAGAAACAGGAAAGUCACAGGAAGUGAGGUGUAAUAUUUUGUUCAUGUUUCUUUGGCAAAUAUUAAUAUUAUACCCUGAACUACUUCGCCCCAAUGUUUUUGAAAUAUCGAUCUGAAAUUUUGCAUCCGUGUUUUCCAUAAAAAGCAUGUUUAAAUUGAACAAGUGACAUUUAAAAAACCAAACUAGUACCGUAUUCUUAUGAAAUAAUAUUUUAUAAUUAGAUAUUUUCAAAACGUUUAUGCAUGUAUCUCUAUUAUGUAGAUAUCUCGAAAAAAUAAAUCAUUGCCAUAAAUGAGUAGCUGUCCUAGUUUUUCAAUGGACGAUAAACAUAUUUUCCCAAGUACCACAUUUUGUGUCAAGCCCGCAGUCUCCAAGUGCUCACUUAAAACGAAAGAAAUUAUUGUCGCCACAACUUUAACAACCGCUUCCAGCUAAAACAGCAAUUAAUUUGAAGCAAAUUAUUUUACGAAACACAAAUAAAUUUGAGGUGCAAAAAAGCAAGCAAGUAUACAGAAAUUAGCAAAUUGACAGCUUUCAUUUUUUGCCAAUUCAUUGUUUAUACAACGAAGUAGCUGCCAGUUGUUGGCACGAAUUUUCACCAGUUGGCGCAUUCAACUUAGAACGUGGUAACCAAAUCACAACAAAAGCAACAACAAUACAAAGACAGUAUGGCAAGCCAGCGAAGACUCCAACAGCAGCUGUUGGAAGCUAGAAAUUUACGCGAGCGCCGGCGACCUGACUGUCCGAUAAGAAGCAUCAAAAAAGCAGCACAAAAAGUCGCUGCAGCUUUACAAAAGUACUAAGAAUGCCUAGCAAUACUGACAAAAAAAAAAAAAAAAA